CUCCCAGUCGCGCAGCAUCAGCCGUGCUGCGGCUCUGUGUUCCUGCGGUGCUGAGAUUUAGAGCAAGGUCAGAACCACAGCAGCUCCUCAGACGAGGGACGUGGGAAUGUGAGAGCAACGCGUAGGAAGCAAAGGUGGAAAGGAAAGACAAAGUAAAUUCCACAGCUUGAACUCCCCCUUAUAAGGUCUUUGAGGACUCGGUUCCUCUAACGUGUACCUGGAGUGUUCAGUCCGGACAGAGGCAGAAAUACCAAACAUGUGUCUCCGUGGCCUUGAGACUUCACACGGCUCCGACUCAGCGCCCGGCUCGCAUAGCCAGGAGACAUGCCGAUUCUCUGAACAGAUUUUAAAGAUCUUCUCUCCGCAUGGCUGGAGAGAAGCUUCACCGCUGGAUGCAAGAUGCCUCCGACUUCAAUGGAAACUGUGUUCUGAUGUAAAACUUGUGUAACUGGUUGCACGUGCACAUGUACACACAUCUUUAAAAAGUAACGGCCUGCUAACGGCAAACUCUGCACUUCCAUCAUUGGACACAGUGAAGAUCAAUCACGCACGUGAAGUAACACAUUUCUGAUUAGAGGUCUUAAAACUCACACAGCAUGAGUUCCUUCUGUAGAAAUAAUCAUUGAUCUUUUAUAUUAUUUUUGAACUAAUAACAGAGACAACAAGUUCUCCUGCACCGAACCGGAUGAAGAACCUAAACAGAUGAAGAAAUAUCAAUCAU